UUAAGCGACUAAGCGUACACGGUGGAUGCCCUGGCAGUCAGAGGCGAUGAAGGACGUGCUAAUCUGCGAUAAGCGUCGGUAAGGUGAUAUGAACCGUUAUAACCGGCGAUUUCCGAAUGGGGAAACCCAGUGUGAUUCGUCACACUAUCAUUAACUGAAUCCAUAGGUUAAUGAGGCGAACCGGGGGAACUGAAACAUCUAAGUACCCCGAGGAAAAGAAAUCAACCGAGAUUCCCCCAGUAGCGGCGAGCGAACGGGGAGCAGCCCAGAGCCUGAAUCAGUGUGUGUGUUAGUGGAAGCGUCUGGAAAGGCGCGCGAUACAGGGUGACAGCCCCGUACACAAAAAUGCACAUACUGUGAGCUCGAUGAGUAGGGCGGGACACGUGGUAUCCUGUCUGAAUAUGGGGGGACCAUCCUCCAAGGCUAAAUACUCCUGACUGACCGAUAGUGAACCAGUACCGUGAGGGAAAGGCGAAAAGAACCCCGGCGAGGGGAGUGAAAAAGAACCUGAAACCGUGUACGUACAAGCAGUGGGAGCACAGAGCAAUCUGUGUGACUGCGUACCUUUUGUAUAAUGGGUCAGCGACUUAUAUUCUGUAGCAAGGUUAACCGAAUAGGGGAGCCGAAGGGAAACCGAGUCUUAACUGGGCGUUAAGUUGCAGGGUAUAGACCCGAAACCCGGUGAUCUAGCCAUGGGCAGGUUGAAGGUUGGGUAACACUAAUUGGAGGACCGAACCGACUAAUGUUGAAAAAUUAGCGGAUGACUUGUGGCUGGGGGUGAAAGGCCAAUCAAACCGGGAGAUAGCUGGUUCUCCCCGAAAGCUAUUUAGGUAGCGCCUCGUGAAUUCAUCUCCGGGGGUAGAGCACUGUUUCGGCAAGGGGGUCAUCCCGACUUACCAACCCGAUGCAAACUGCGAAUACCGGAGAAUGUUAUCACGGGAGACACACGGCGGGUGCUAACGUCCGUCGUGAAGAGGGAAACAACCCAGACCGCCAGCUAAGGUCCCAAAGUCAUGGUUAAGUGGGAAACGAUGUGGGAAGGCCCAGACAGCCAGGAUGUUGGCUUAGAAGCAGCCAUCAUUUAAAGAAAGCGUAAUAGCUCACUGGUCGAGUCGGCCUGCGCGGAAGAUGUAACGGGGCUAAACCAUGCACCGAAGCUGCGGCAGCGACGCUGAUGCGUUGUUGGGUAGGGGAGCGUUCUGUAAGCCUGUGAAGGUGUGCUGUGAGGCAUGCUGGAGGUAUCAGAAGUGCGAAUGCUGACAUAAGUAACGAUAAAGCGGGUGAAAAGCCCGCUCGCCGGAAGACCAAGGGUUCCUGUCCAACGUUAAUCGGGGCAGGGUGAGUCGACCCCUAAGGCGAGGCCGAAAGGCGUAGUCGAUGGGAAACAGGUUAAUAUUCCUGUACUUGGUGUUACUGCGAAGGGGGGACGGAGAAGGCUAUGUUGGCCGGGCGACGGUUGUCCCGGUUUAAGCGUGUAGGCUGGUUUUCCAGGCAAAUCCGGAAAAUCAAGGCUGAGGCGUGAUGACGAGGCACUACGGUGCUGAAGCAACAAAUGCCCUGCUUCCAGGAAAAGCCUCUAAGCAUCAGGUAACAUCAAAUCGUACCCCAAACCGACACAGGUGGUCAGGUAGAGAAUACCAAGGCGCUUGAGAGAACUCGGGUGAAGGAACUAGGCAAAAUGGUGCCGUAACUUCGGGAGAAGGCACGCUGAUAUGUAGGUGAAGUCCCUCGCGGAUGGAGCUGAAAUCAGUCGAAGAUACCAGCUGGCUGCAACUGUUUAUUAAAAACACAGCACUGUGCAAACACGAAAGUGGACGUAUACGGUGUGACGCCUGCCCGGUGCCGGAAGGUUAAUUGAUGGGGUCAGCGCAAGCGAAGCUCUUGAUCGAAGCCCCGGUAAACGGCGGCCGUAACUAUAACGGUCCUAAGGUAGCGAAAUUCCUUGUCGGGUAAGUUCCGACCUGCACGAAUGGCGUAAUGAUGGCCAGGCUGUCUCCACCCGAGACUCAGUGAAAUUGAACUCGCUGUGAAGAUGCAGUGUACCCGCGGCAAGACGGAAAGACCCGUGAACCUUUACUAUAGCUUGACACUGAACAUUGAGCCUUGAUGUGUAGGAUAGGUGGGAGGCUUUGAAGUGUGGACGCCAGUCUGCAUGGAGCCGACCUUGAAAUACCACCCUUUAAUGUUUGAUGUUCUAACGUUGACCCGUAAUCCGGGUUGCGGACAGUGUCUGGUGGGUAGUUUGACUGGGGCGGUCUCCUCCUAAAGAGUAACGGAGGAGCACGAAGGUUGGCUAAUCCUGGUCGGACAUCAGGAGGUUAGUGCAAUGGCAUAAGCCAGCUUGACUGCGAGCGUGACGGCGGCGAGCAGGUGCGAAAGCAGGUCAUAGUGAUCCGGUGGUUCUGAAUGGAAGGGCCAUCGCUCAACGGAUAAAAAGGUACUCCGGGGAUAACAGGCUGAUACCGCCCAAGAGUUCAUAUCGACGGCGGUGUUGGCACCUCGAUGUCGGCUCAUCACAUCCUGGGGCUGAAGGUAGGUCCCAAGGGUAUGGCUGUUCGCCAUUUAAAGUGGUACGCGGAGCUGGGUUUAGAACGUCGUGAGACAGUUCGGUCCCUAUCUGCCGUGGGCGCUGGAGAACUGAGGGGGGCUGCUCCUAGUACGAGAGGACCGGAGUGGACGCAUCACUGGUGUUCGGGUUGUCAUGCCAAUGGCACCUGCCCGCGUAGCUAAAUGCAGGGAAGAGAAUAAGUGCUGAAAGCAUCUAAGCACGAAACUUGCCCCGAGAUGAGUUCUCCCUGACUCCUUGAGAGUCCUGAAGGAACGUUGAAGA
rnacentral:rRNA from 1 species